rnacentral:rRNA from 1 species
UACGAAGGGUGCAAGCGUUACUCGGAAUUACUGGGCGUAAAGCGUGCGUAGGUGGUUUGUUAAGUCUGUUGUGAAAGCCCCGGGCUCAACCUGGGAAUGGCAAUGGAUACUGGCAGGCUAGAGUGCGGUAGAGGGUAGUGGAAUUCCCGGUGUAGCGGUGAAAUGCGUAGAUAUCUGGGAGGAACACCGGUGGCGAAGGCGGCAUCCGUGGACCGGCAUGACGCUGAGGAGCGAAAGCCAGGGGAGCAAACGGG